rnacentral:lncRNA from 13 species
CAGGACUAUAAACUUGCUAUAAACUUUGUCAAAUUUCAUGUGAGUGAAGCUUUGGACAGGGAAUCAAGGUUUUAAAAUGUCAGAAGAACAGUUCGAAAAGUGAUGCUGUCCCAUCAGCUGCCUUAGUCAUAUGCAGGGGAUCCAGUGAUGGACACCAAGGCUAUAGAAUAUGGAGAAACUACCAAAUAGGUAAAACCUGUUCCCACAUUGGU